rnacentral:rRNA from 1 species
AUGUCCGGCUACCCCUACGGCGGCGCCGGAGGAGGAGGCGGCUACGGGGCCCCUCCGCCCUACGGCUCCUCGCCCGCCCCCUCGGCCCCGCCCUACGGCGACAAGCCUCCCAAGGAAGGCAAGGCCUCCUCCCCCUACUACGCUUCCCCGCCCCAGCCCUACGGCGCCAGCGGCGGCGGAGGCGGCUACGGAGCCCCGCCCUCCACCCAGCCCCAGUCCUACGGGGGCGGAUACGGGGCCCCGCCCUCCUCCCAGCCGCAGUCCUACGGCGGCGGCGGCUACGGGGCCCCGCCCGCCGGCCAGCCCCAGUCCUACGGCGGCGGCGGAGGCUACGGUGCUCCGCCCGCGGGCCAGUCCUACGGCGCCCCGCCUCCCUCGUCGGCGCCCUACGGGGCCCCGCCCCCCGCGGCAGCGCCGUAUGGGGCCGCUGGCGGGUACGGGAGCCCGUUCGCCGCGCUCGUGCCGUCGGCGUUCCCGCCGGGGACGGACCCCAACGUGGUGGCGUGCUUCCAGGCCGCCGACCGCGACGGCAGCGGGACCAUCGACGACAAGGAGCUGCAGUCCGCGCUCUCCGGCUACAACCAGAGCUUUAGCCUCCGCACCGUCCACCUCCUCAUGUACCUCUUCACCAACACCAACGUCCGCAGGAUCGGGCCCAAGGAGUUUACUUCUGUUUUUUACAGUCUUCAGAAUUGGAGGUCCAUAUUCGAGAGGUUUGACCGUGACCGAAGUGGUAAAAUUGAUGCAUCGGAGCUGCGCGAUGCUCUUCUCAGUCUGGGUUAUUCAGUUUCUCCAACUGUGCUAGACUUGCUCGUGUCUAAAUUCGACAAGACUGGGGGCAUGAGCAAAGCAGUUGAAUAUGAUAACUUUAUUGAGUGUUGCCUUACAGUCAAGGGUCUGACUGAGAAGUUCAAGGAGAAGGACACAGCUUACUCCGGGUCUGCAACUUUCAGUUACGAGGCAUUCAUGUUGACUGUGCUCCCUUUCAUCAUUGCAUGA